rfam:Nomascus leucogenys chromosome 22a, whole genome shotgun sequence.
CCAACUUCAGCUACAGUGUUAGCUAAGUUGG